rnacentral:rRNA from 1 species
CGGCCUUGAAAUACCACCCUUUAAUGUUUGAUGUUCUAACGUGGACCCGUGAUCCGGGUUGCGGACAGUGUCUGGUGGGUAGUUUGACUGGGGCGGUCUCCUCCUAAAGAGUAACGGAGGAGCACGAAGGUUGGCUAAUCCUGGUCGGACAUCAGGAGGUUAGUGCAAUGGCAUAAGCCAGCUUGACUGCGAGCGUGACGGCGCGAGCAGGUGCGAAAGCAGGUCAUAGUGAUCCGGUGGUUCUGAAUGGAAGGGCCAUCGCUCAACGGAUAAAAGGUACUCCGGGGAUAACAGGCUGAUACCGCCCAAGAGUUCAUAUCGACGGCGGUGUUUGGCACCUCGAUGUCGGCUCAUCACAUCCUGGGGCUGAAGUAGGUCCCAAGGGUAUGGCUGUUCGCCAUUUAAAGUGGUACGCGAGCUGGGUUUAGAACGUCGUGAGACAGUUCGGUCCCUAUCU